AAUGAUGGGUCAGAAAAUCGAAAUAAAUGAAAUUGGAAAGAAAUAUCUAUUUGUAAGUUAAUGAAUGAAAUAAAGUUAGAACUUAGAAGCAUGUGGAACAACCAUUUUCCUAAUAAACAUAGUAUUGAACAAAGAAUCUUCCACAGAAGAAAGCCAUGGCUGUUAUAUUGAAGAAUCACAGCCUAUUAAUCACUUUCUUGUUCCUCUGCUGUUUAUUGCCAUGGCGGCAGAUAGAUGGGUUCAAAGUACCAUUUCAUCCAAAGGAUAUUCUGCCAUUUUUACCAAGACAGGUCUCUUGGCCUAUCCUCAACUCUCUCCACAGUGCUGUGGACCUCAUGCCCACUUUUAUUGGGGCUGCUUCAGAUAAUAUACUGGAGUGGAAAGGUGCUUGCUUUUACAAGAAUAUUGCUUGGUUGGAGCUUCACAAUAAGUCCCAAAGUCAAUUUGGUGGAGGCACUCUUCAUAUUAAGGUGAGCAAUGCACACAGUUGGACAUGUAUGGAUCUUUACAUCUUUGCAACCCCAUAUCGUGUGACAUGGGACUACUAUUUAUUGUCUCGUGAACAUACUCUUGAAGUCAAAGAAUGGGAGUCUCAAGCUGAGUUAGAAUAUGUCAAACAUAAAGGUAUCUCAAUUUUCCUAAUGCAAGCAGGAAUGUUAGGAACCCUUUCAGCACUCUGGGAUGUUCUCCCUUUGUUCACAAACACUGGAUGGGGUGAGAACUCAAAUAUUGGUUUUCUAAAGAAACAUAUGGGCGCUUCAUUUGAAAAACGUCCACAGCCAUGGGUCACCAACCUUACUACCGAUGACAUACAUUCUGGAGAUUUUCUUGCAUUAUCAAAAAUUAGAGGUCGCUGGGGUGGUUUUGAGACUCUAGAGAAAUGGGUAUCAGGAGCUUAUGCUGGCCAUUCUGCUGUUUGCUUGAGAGACUCCGAAGGAAAACUAUGGGUUGGCGAAUCUGGAAAUGAGAAUGAUAAGGGAGAAGAUGUUAUUGCUCUAUUGCCAUGGGAAGAGUGGUGGGAGUUUGAGCUGACAAAAGAUGAUUCCAAUCCACAUAUUGCAUUGCUCCCUUUGCACCCUGACCUCCGUGCCAAGUUUAAUGAAACUGCUGCUUGGGAAUAUGCAAAAAGCAUGGAUGGCCAACCUUAUGGUUACCACAACUUAAUAUUUAGCUGGAUAGACACAAUUGACGGAAAUUACCCCUCACCAUUGGAUGCUCAUCUGGUUGCUUCUGUCAUGACUGUUUGGAACCAAUUACAGCCUGCGUAUGCUUCUAACAUGUGGAAUGAAGCCUUGAACAAGCGACUCGGAACUCAGAACCUUAGUCUUCCUGAUGUUCUUGUGGAAGUUGAAAAGCGUGGAUCCUCUUUUGCUGAAUUGUUGACUAUUCCAGAGAAGGAUGAUUGGGUUUAUAGUGAUGGAAAGUCAACAUCAUGUGUUGCUUUCAUUCUUGAAAUGUACAAGGAAGCAGGAUUAUUUGGUGAACUUGCAAGCUCAAUUCAGGUUACAGAAUUCACGAUAAAAGAUGCUUACUCUCUCAAGUUUUUCGAGACCAAUUCAAGUCGGUUACCGAAGUGGUGCAAUGCAGAUGACAGUGUGAAGCUUCCUUUCUGUCAAAUUCGAGGAAAGUACCGGAUGGAACUACCUGGAUACAAUAGUAUGGAUCUAUACCCCCAUAUGAAUGAAAGAUGUCCAUCUAUGCCUCCGAAAUAUUACAGACCUCAAGGUUGUUGACAAGAGUUUCCCAUCUUCCUUGUAAUUAUCAGAGGACAUAUGCGGGCUCCCCCUCCAAAUGGAACAAAGUUGUAAGGAGGCAAGGAUCCUGGGUUCUCAAAGCGUGCUGGAUCAAAUUUUUCUGGUUCUUGGAAAAUGCUGCUAUCCAUGUUGAUGAAUGGAAGAUCAAAGAUGGGGAUUCUGAUCUUACUUGCCAUCCUUUAGGAAUGAGGUAUACUUCAUCUUGCCAAGGUCUUCCCAAGUUAAGGACUCCCCAGGUGACUUACUCUGUGCAAUCUCUUCUUGUUCUGUACUUCCGCCAAGCUACUUUAGAAGAAACUCGAAAGGUAGAAUGACUCACAUGACAUUCAGAGGGGUUCUUACCUUUAAGGACAGCUGCAUGAAUGUUGGGAUUGUUUGCUAAAAGUCUUACUAUGAAAGUUAUCAGGACGGAUGAAGUGUCAUGUCCAGCAACCAUGAUAAGCAUGACAUUGUGAAUGAUCUCAUUUUCAGAUAUAAGUUGUUGGUUGUUCUCUCCACGGAUGCUGAGCAAGCAGGUGAUGAGGUCCUGGUGGGAUGAAGCUAAGUUGUUCUCAAACUCAUACUGUUUCUCGCGAAUAAGUUGUUUCAGCAUUUUCUGGACAUCUUUGCUUGCCUUGAGGCUGCGGUUGAAACGUGUAAAGGGAAAGUUUAUGGGGAUUGACCACAUCCCUUCUAUCAUCCACUGGAAAUACUGAACCAGUUGGUCUCUUCGCGCUCCACUUUCAAGCCCGAAAAGGAGAGAGCAAAUAAUGUCGAAGUAAGUCUCAAGGUGGAUUCUGACUUCUUCUUCCAUCUUUCCAACAUAACGCUU